rnacentral:rRNA from 1 species
UACGUAGGCGGCAAGCGUUGUCCGGAAUUAUUGGGCGUAAAGGGAGCGCAGGCGGGAAACUAAGCGGAUCUUAAAAGUGCGGGGCUCAACUCCGUGAGGGGGUCCGAACUGGUUUUCUUGAGUGCAGGAGAGGAAAGCGGAAUUCCCAGUGUAGCGGUGAAAUGCGUAGAUAUUGGGAAGAACACCAGUGGCGAAGGCGGCUUUCUGGACUGUAACUGACGCUGAGGCUCGAAAGCUAGGGUAGCGAACGGG